CAUUCAAUCUCAUUCACGGCCGCUUCUCUUCUCUUUGUGACCUAAAUUCUUCACCAUUUCUUCUCAUCUCUCCCUUGAAAUCAAUCUACAUCAGUUAGAUUAAAUUUGCAUCUCUCUUCUUCACACGCCAAAUAAACCCUAACUUGCAUCCUCUUCCUCUUCCUCUUCCCUUCGUUCAACUCGAGAAAACAUUGUCAAUACGCUACAUUCAAACUUCACCAACCCCGAUCAUCUCUAAAGUCUCACCGUUUCAUCAAUGUAAGACGAACAUCGACGGUGCCGGGAUACGAUAAUAUUUAGGGCUGGCCAAUAUGAUAAAAUUUAAAUCAAAGUGAUUACUGAGGUGCAAUGAAAGUGUAUAUGAAGUAAUUACAGAUGAUAAUCGUGAGAGGACCAUGAUCUUUAUAAGGAACAAAGAAAAUUUGAAUGUUUUGAUCGAGACCAAAGGUGGGAAGAAGUCUACCAUUAGUAAUUCCUUUUAUGAAGCUCCAUUGUUGGUGUUAAUUUCUGUUUAAAACCAUGGCUGAAAUUACGUUUUUCGAGCCCAACAUCUUCACUGACCCUGAAGGUCAAGGUCUCCAGGCUUUACCAAAGCCCAAGUGGAUGAGAUCUUGAACCCUGCUGAAUGCACAAUUGUCUCUUCAUUGUCGAAUGAGCAUGUAGACUCUUAUGUUCUAUCCGAACCGAGUCGGUUUGUGUUCCCUUACAAAAUCGUUAUCAAAACUUGUGUAACCACUAGACUGCUGCUCUCGAUAUCGGCUAUUCUCAAGCUGGUGGAAUCGAUUUCGCUUAUUGUCCAGUCAACAAGAUACACACGCGGUUGCUUUAUCUUUCCCAGUGCUCAAUCGUACCCUCACCGCAGCUUCACCGAAGAAGUUUCAGUGCUGGAUGGUCAUUUUGAAAAGCAUGGUUUAGCCAGCAAAGAGUGAUGUAAUUUCAGUUUUUUAGGUAAUGGCAAAGGUGCUGCAACUUCUUAAUAUGUUAUGCGAAUUGCACCAUAUGUUCAGGUAGAUCUUUUCCAAAUAAUGUUUAAUCAAUUUCGAUCUGUCUCAAGUAGUAAUUUAUUUAUUUUUUGUAUGAUUAUUAAUUAAACAAAUGUUACAUUAUAUGCUAUAAAUCUUAUAUAUCCCGUUAAACCCCUCAAAUUGUCACAAAUCAUCGAUUCAAGAAGCAAAAACUCAUAUCCAAUGGGCUCCAAGCGACUUGACUUCGGUGACGGCGCUAGCCCCGGGAAGAUUUUAUCGGUGGUUUAGCGAAGGAUACUACCAUAGAUACAUUUGUUAAGUACUUUGGAAAGUAUGGAGACCUUACGGACUCGGUUAUUAUAAAUGAUCGACAGACCGGUCGGCUGAGGGGCUUCUGGUUUGUUACGUAUGCGGAUCCUUCGGUUGUUGACAUUGUUAUUGCUGAGACACAUGUUAUUAAUGGGAAACAAGUUGAAGAAGAUAAUAAAAUGAAUGAAUGUUUCAAGAAGGGCAAGAAAAGAUGAUAAAACAUGGUUUGUGGACAUUCCAUUCAUCUGGAUUGCUACAGGAAGUUGAUUGACCAGGAUUAGUUAUUUCACAAUCCUUUUAUGGAUUUUCACUUUUUCUAAAAUGGUUUAUUUUCUAUGGGUGCAGAAUUGUAGUUUAUGGAUGCUAAUUUCUUCGUCUUCCAGAUACCAGUGUCCCAUAUGCUCAAGAUCGGUGUCUAAUACGUCCAAAAUAUGGCAAAGGUUAGACCAAGAGGGCGUGAGGCGGAAGAGGUUGAGCCCAUACUAGAUGCAUUGCCGAAUCUAGAACAGUACAUAUACCGCUCUUCAGCCGGUGUUUACCUUAAAUCCGAUAUUUUACCACAUCGUGAGGUUCGUUUUUUGAACAUUUUUUAAACAACCUUUUACUGGGAAGCUCAAGACCGAGGACUUACUACAGUCAAAGGGUGUCAACUACACUUCUAUAAGGCCCGUUUAUAUUUACGACCCGUUGAACUACAACCAUAUCGAAGAGUGACUUUUCCAUAGGUUGAAAGCGGGCCGACUCAUCCCCAUUCCCAACUCAGGUUUGCAAGUAACCCAACUCGGUCACGUAAAGGAUUUGGCUACAGCUUUUAUAAAAGUUUUGGGGAAUGAAAAAGCAAGCAAACAAGUGUACAACAUUUUAGGAGAUAGAUAUGUUACUUUCGAUGGAUUAGCAAGAGCUUGUGCUAAGGCUGGUGGAUUCCCUGAGCCCAAGAUCAUUCACUAUAAUCCCAAGGAGUUCCAUUACGGUAAAAAGAAAGCAUUUCCAUUCCAGAACCAGAUAUGCAAUGAUAAAGAUCAAGCAAAUUCAUGGUUUCGUGGCUUAAAACUGUACUUUACUCGCUUUGUUGUUUUAAAAUUAAGGAAUUUUGGCUUGAGUUGUAGUCAUAGUUUAAUAAAUUUUGGCCUUAUUGAGUUUUUAAACUAUAAUUUGUUUAACCAAGUGAUAUUAAGCCUAUAAUAAUUGUUUUUGUUA